UACACUCCGCGGGAGGCAGCAGUGGGGAAUAUUGGACAAUGGGCGCAAGCCUGAUCCAGCCAUGCCGCGUGAGUGAUGAAGGCCCUAGGGUUGUAAAGCUCUUUUGUGCGGGAAGAUAAUGACGGUACCGCAAGAAUAAGCCCCGGCUAACUUCGUGCCAGCAGCCGCGGUAAUACGAAGGGGGCUAGCGUUGCUCGGAAUCACUGGGCGUAAAGGGUGCGUAGGCGGGUCUUUAAGUCAGGGGUGAAAUCCUGGAGCUCAACUCCAGAACUGCCUUUGAUACUGAAGAUCUUGAGUUCGGGAGAGGUGAGUGGAACUGCGAGUGUAGAGGUGAAAUUCGUAGAUAUUCGCAAGAACACCAGUGGCGAAGGCGGCUCACUGGCCCGAUACUGACGCUGAGGCACGAAAGCGUGGGGAGCAAACAGGAUUAGAAACCCCUGUAGUCCCAUGA
rnacentral:rRNA from 1 species